UACGUAGGGGGCAAGCGUUGUCCGGAUUUACUGGGCGUAAAGCGCGUGUAGGCGGGAGCGAAAGUCCGGUGUGAAAUCCCUCGGCUUAACCGGGGAACUGCGUCCGAUACUGGAUGGCUUGAGUUCGGGAGAGGGAUGCGGAAUUCCAGGUGUAGCGGUGAAAUGCGUAGAUAUCUGGAGGAACACCGGUGGCGAAGGCGGCAUCCUGGACCGACACUGACGCUGAGGAGCGAAAGUCAGGGGAGCAAACGGG
rnacentral:rRNA from 1 species